CGUGAGUGACCUGCCCUGGAGUGGGGAAUAACUCUGCGAAAGCAGAGCUAAUACCGCAUUCGCUUAGUCGUUCAGUCGAUUAAGUAAAGCUCAAUGCGCUUCAGGAGGGGCUUGCGGCCGAUUAGCUAGUCGGUGGGGUAAUGGCCUACCGAGGCAACGAUCGGUAGCUGGUCUGAGAGGAUGACCAGCCACACUGGGACUGAGACACGGCCCAG
rnacentral:rRNA from 1 species